GGAAGGAUCAUUAUCGUACAACAGAGGCACAAGGGCUGUCGCUGACUUAUUGGGUCGUGCACGCCCGUGUGCUCUCUCACACUCACACAAUCCAUCUCACCCAUUUGUGCACCACCGCGUGGGUCCUCCCUUCGAAGGGGGGAGAGGCCUACGUUUUUACAUCAACUUUUUAAAUUAGUAUAGAAUGUCGUUCUUUUUGCGGUCACACGCAAUCAAUACAACUUUCAACAACGGAUCUCUUGGCUCUCGCAUCGAUGAAGAACGCAGCGAAAUGCGAUACGUAAUGUGAAUUGCAGAAUUCAGUGAAUCAUCGAAUCUUUGAACGCACCUUGCGCCCCUUGGCAUUCCGAGGGGCACACCCGUUUGAGUGUCGUGAAAUCCUCAAAACCCUUUCUUUGAUCUUUUUCGAUCGGGGAAAGGAUUUUGGACUUGGAGGGUCACUGCUGGCUUUUCACUUUGAAAAGUGAGCUCCUCCUAAAGGAAUUAGUGGGGUUUGCUUUGUCGAUCCUUGACGUGAUAAGGUGUUUCUACGUUUUGGAUUUGGCACCGUAGCCUGCUUCCAACCGUCCCACGGACGACUCAUGGUGCUCUGGUCACCACCAUUUCACUGGUGGGAGGCUGGACCCAUGAAAAAACCUUGACCUCAAAUCGGGUGAGACUACCCGCUGAACUUAAGCAUAUCAAUAAGCGGAGGAAAAGAAACUAACAAGGAUUCCCCUAGUAACUGCGAGUGAAGCGGGAAAAGCUCAAAUUUAAAAUCUGGUGGUCUUUGGCCAUCCGAGUUGUAAUUUAGAGAAGCGUCUUCCGCGCUGGACCGUGCACAAGUCUCCUGGAAUGGAGCGUCAUAGAGGGUGAGAAUCCCGUCUUUGGCACGGACGCACCAGGGCUUUUGUGAUGCGCUCUCGAAGAGUCGAGUUGUUUGGGAAUGCAGCUCAAAAUGGGUGGUGAACUCCAUCUAAAGCUAAAUAUUGGCGAGAGACCGAUAGCGAACAAGUACCGUGAGGGAAAGAUGAAAAGCACUUUGGAAAGAGAGUGAAACAGUACGUGAAAUUGUUGAAAGGGAAACGCUUGAAGUCAGUCGCGUUGGCCGAGACUCAGCCUUGCCUUGGCUUGGUGUACUUCUCGGUCGACGGGUCAGCAUCAAUUUUGCUUCUCGGAUAAUGGCGAGGGAAAUGUGACACCUUUACGGUGUGUUAUAGUCUCUCGUCGCAUGCGAGGGUCGGGAUUGAGGAACUCAGCACGCGCCUUUGGGCGUCGGGGCUUCUGCCCACGAUACGUGCUUAGGAUGUUGGCGUAAUGGCUUUAAACGACCCGUCUUGAAACACGGACCAAGGAGUCUAACAUGCCCGCGAGUGUUCGGGUGGAAAACCCGUGCGCGCAAUGAAAGUGAAAGUUGGGACCUCUGUCGUGGAGGGCACCGACGCCCGGACCAGACCUUCUGUGACGGAUCUGCGGUAGAGCGUGUAUGUUAGGACCCGAAAGAUGGUGAACUAUGCCUGAAUAGGGUGAAGCCAGAGGAAACUCUGGUGGAGGCUCGUAGCGAUUCUGACGUGCAAAUCGAUCGUCAAAUUUGGGUAUAGGGGCGAAAGACUAAUCGAACCAUCUAGUAGCUGGUUCCUGC
rnacentral:misc_RNA from 1 species